GACCGCUCCAGGAGCCUAGUGGUUAGAGCGUUCGCCUCGGAUGUGGGAGGUCGUGGGUUCGAUCCCCAGUUGAGUCA